UACGUAGGGGGCAAGCGUUGUCCGGAAUCAUUGGGCGUAAAGCGCGUGUAGGCGGUUCGGCAAGUCUGCUGUGAAAGUCCAGGGCUCAACCCUGGGAUGCCGGUGGAUACUGCUGAACUAGAGUGCGGAAGAGGCGAGUGGAAUUCCCGGUGUAGCGGUGAAAUGCGCAGAUAUCGGGAGGAACACCGAUUGCGAAGGCAGCUCGCUGGGACGUGACUGACGCUGAGACGCGAAAGCGUGGGGAGCAAACAGG
rnacentral:rRNA from 1 species